rnacentral:lncRNA from 1 species
CUUCAGAUUGAAUAAUAAUAAAAGAGUUCCUAUUAUGAGCUCCCAGAUUCUUGCACAGCCUCAUUAUUGAAGAAAGUUCAUUCUGAAAAUCUGAAGCAAUUAAAGGGUAAAUAUGAUCAGGUUAUCUCCCCCAAGUUCUCAGCCUGAGAAGGAGAAUCAUUUUUUGUCAAUCUAAUGAAGCAUUUAAAGAUGAACAUAAAGAUUAUAUUAAAGUUCAGAAAGCCAGAGGCUUAGAGCCAAAGACUUGUUUCAGAAAGAUGAGAGAGGACUAUUUGGAAACCUGUGGGUACAGAGAACAGGUUGAGUCCAGACUCAGGUAUAGAAUGUUUGAUAAAGACCCCCAUUGGGAACUCUCCAGACCUACCCAAGAUCAUGCAGUACUCCACAAACAGUGGAAAACCAGGUACCCCAGUGCUUUACCAGCUCAGGACAACAGGCUGAGACUCUCUGAGCUACUCUCAGCUCCCCAAGGACUGUUUCUUAGAGAAACUAGUGCUCAUGAAACUUGGUCAGUGAGAAUAUAAUUGUGGUUCAUAUGACAUAGAAUCCAGAGUUCACCUUUCCUCGAGAAACAGCCCCAGUGACCAUCAAACCAGCCAUAAGCAGGUACAUCA